UACAGAGGGUGCUAGCGUUGUUCGGAAUCAUUGGGCGUAAAGGGCGUGUAGGCGGUUUGUUAAGUCAUGUGUGAAAUCCCUCGGCUCAACCGGGGAACGACGCAUGAAACUGGCAAGCUAGAGUACCAAAGAGGGGGGUGGAAUUCCUGGUGUAGCGGUGAAAUGCGCAGAUAUCAGGAGGAACACCAAUGGCGAAGGCAGCACUCUGGGACGUGACUGACGCUGAGACGCGAAAGCGUGGGGAGCAAACAGG
rnacentral:rRNA from 1 species